AUACGUAGGGUGCAAGCGUUAAUCGGAAUUACUGGGCGUAAAGCGUGCGCAGGCGGUUUUGUAAGACAGAGGUGAAAUCCCCGGGCUCAACCCGGGAACUGCCAUUGUGACUGCAAGGCUGGAGUGCGGCAGAGGGGGAUGGAAUUCCGCGUGUAGCAGUGAAAUGCGUAGAUAUGCGGAGGAACACCGAUGGCGAAGGCAAUCCCCUGGGCCUGCACUGACGCUCAUGCACGAAAGCGUGGGGAGCAAACAGGAUUAGAUACCCUGGUAGUCCACGCCCUAAACGAUGUCAACUGGUUGUUGGGGAUUUAUUUUCUCAGUAACGAAGCUAACGCGUGAAGUUGACCGCCUGGGGAGUACGGCCGCAAGGUUAAAACUCAAAGGAAUUGGCGGGG
rnacentral:rRNA from 1 species